GACGAACGCUGGCGGCGUGCUUAACACAUGCAAGUCGAGCGGUAAGGCUCCUUCGGGAGUACACGAGCGGCGAACGGGGGAGUAACACGUGAGCAAUCUCCCCUUCUCAUCGGAAUAACCAUUGGAAACGAUGGCUAAUGCCGAAUACGACUUCCUUUCGCAUGUCAGGACGUGGAAAGCUCCGGGGGAGAAGGAGGCGCCGGCGGCCUAUCAGCUUGUUGGUGAGGUAAUGGCUAACUAAGGCGACGACGGGUAGCCGGCCUGAGAGGGUGGCCGGCCGCACUGGGACUGAGACACGGCCGCGACUCCUACGGGAGGCAGCAGUGGGGAAUAUUGGACAAUGGGCGAAAGCCUGAUCCAGCAACGCCGCGUGAGGGAUGACGGCCUUCGGGUUGUAAACCUCUUUCGGCAGGGACGAAGCGAAAGUGACGGUACCUGCAGAAGAAGGACCGGCCAACUACGUGCCAGCCGCCGCAGUAA
rnacentral:rRNA from 1 species